CAAGAACCAGGACUGGAGCCAGGCGAUAUUAUCAUUGUGUUAGAUCAGAAGGACCAUGCUGUUUUUACUCGACGAGGAGAAGACCUUUUCAUGUGUAUGGACAUACAGCUCGUUGAAGCACUGUGUGGCUUCCAGAAGCCAAUAUCUACUCUUGACAACCGAACCAUCGUCAUCACCUCUCAUCCAGGUCAGAUUGUCAAGCAUGGAGAUAUCAAGUGUGUACUAAAUGAAGGCAUGCCAAUUUAUCGUAGACCAUAUGAAAAGGGUCGCCUAAUCAUCGAAUUUAAGGUAAGCUGUAAUGUACUUUAAGAAUACUUGAGAACAAUUGGCUUACUAAAAUCUGAUAAAAAAGUAAAAUUUCAGCCAGGUGCAAGUAGCUCAUGCCUGUAAUCCCCGCAUUUUGAGAGGCUGAGGCAGGAGGAUCCCUUGAGCCCUGGAGUUUUGAGAACAGCCUGGGCAACAUAGUGAAACCCUGUCUCUUUAAAAAAACAAAAAAAAAAAAAAA
rnacentral:lncRNA from 10 species